UUAGUUUGAUCGUUAGUUGACCUAAUAAAUUGACUUUUACCAAUUUUAAAAGAGGUAAAAUUGUAACUUUGACUUAAAAUCGAGAAAAAAAAUCGCUAUUCAUUUUCUCUUUCCUACACCCUCCAUCACACCCCACCUCCUCCUAACCCCAACCACAAAAUUGACCACUACAGCCUUAUCAACACCUGUCGCCAGCAUCCACCAAAACUUCAUCAAAUAGUGUCUUCCCCACUCCACCUCACCUCAACCUAAAACAAAACCCACCCACCACUAACAAUCACCACCAACCGUCGGCAACCACCAUCGUCCACAGGAAAUAAGCUUACACAAGAUAAUAGUGGCGGUGGGUGGCGACAGGUAAACCAACACUACCUUCCAUCGAUAGUAUCUCAUAGUCGGCACCACCACUCUCUUCGAACCACAUCGUCGUCUUCUUCAUCCCAUGCCAACUCAUCAAUCCUCGCCUCCUUUAAUACAUCAACCACAACAUAAGUCACCCCACUACAUACAAAGUUCCCUAUAACCACUGUUCUCAGCAAUCGCUACCACCAACAUUUUUGCUCAAUGCUAUGACUGGCUCCUACCAUCUCCGGACAUGAACCACCGCUGGUCUUUAAUUGCAGUUGCCCGUGCCAAUUGAUUACAACCACUUGUGUUUUCAGGCUCUUGCUCCAUUUUUUUGCCUCAAUUGGUCAUCCUCCAGUGGAAUUGAUUUUGCCACUUUCGAUUCCCAAUAUUUCACGGGUACUUUUAGUAUGGUUUCAGCCUUCCUUUGGCGGGUGGUGGUUGUCGCCCGUGGGUGCUAAUUGGUAGUGUGUCUAGAUUUUUUCAACCAAUGCACGCCUCAAUUUCUCUCCCUAUAGAAGAAGAUGAAGGAUUUGGG
rnacentral:lncRNA from 1 species